UACGAAGGGGGCUAGCGUUGUUCGGCAUUACUGGGCGUAAAGCGCACGUAGGCGGAUAUUUAAGUCAGGGGUGAAAUCCCGGGGCUCAACCCCGGAACUGCCUUUGAUACUGGGUAUCUCGAGUCCGAGAGAGGUGAGUGGAAUUCCGAGUGUAGAGGUGAAAUUCGUAGAUAUUCGGAGGAACACCAGUGGCGAAGGCGGCUCACUGGCUCGGUACUGACGCUGAGGUGCGAAAGCGUGGGGAGCAAACAGG
rnacentral:rRNA from 1 species